rnacentral:rRNA from 1 species
GGGUUGUGAGGUUAAGCGACUAAGCGUACACGGUGGAUGCCCUGGCAGUCAGAGGCGAUGAAGGGCGUGCUAAUCUGCGAUAAGCGCCGGUAAGGUGAUAUGAACCGUUAUAACCGGCGAUACCCGAAUGGGGAAACCCAGUGUGACUCGUCACACUAUCAUUAACUGAAUCCAUAGGUUAAUGAGGCGAACCGGGGGAACUGAAACAUCUAAGUACCCCGAGGAAAAGAAAUCAACCGAGAUUCCCCCAGUAGCGGCGAGCGAACGGGGAGGAGCCCAGAGCCUGAAUCAGCAUGUGUGUUAGUGGAAGCGUCUGGAAAGGCGCGCGAUACAGGGUGACAGCCCCGUACACAAAAGCGCAUGUGCUGUGAGCUCGAUGAGUAGGGCGGGACACGUGGUAUCCUGUCUGAAUAUGGGGGGACCAUCCUCCAAGGCUAAAUACUCCUGACUGACCGAUAGUGAACCAGUACCGUGAGGGAAAGGCGAAAAGAACCCCGGCGAGGGGAGUGAAAAAGAACCUGAAACCGUGUACGUACAAGCAGUGGGAGCACAGGUUUACCUGUGUGACUGCGUACCUUUUGUAUAAUGGGUCAGCGACUUAUAUUCUGUAGCAAGGUUAACCGAAUAGGGGAGCCGGAGGGAAACCGAGUCUUAAUUGGGCGUUAAGUUGCAGGGUAUAGACCCGAAACCCGGUGAUCUAGCCAUGGGCAGGUUGAAGGUUGGGUAACACUAACUGGAGGACCGAACCGACUAAUGUUGAAAAAUUAGCGGAUGACCUGUGGCUGGGGGUGAAAGGCCAAUCAAACCGGGAGAUAGCUGGUUCUCCCCGAAAGCUAUUUAGGUAGCGCCUCGUGAAUUCAUCUCCGGGGGUAGAGCACUGUUUCGGCUAGGGGGCCAUCCCGGCUUACCAACCCGAUGCAAACUGCGAAUACCGGAGAAUGUUAUCACGGGAGACACACGGCGGGUGCUAACGUCCGUCGUGAAGAGGGAAACAACCCAGACCGCCAGCUAAGGUCCCAAAGUCAUGGUUAAGUGGGAAACGAUGUGGGAAGGCCCAGACAGCCAGGAUGUUGGCUUAGAAGCAGCCAUCAUUUAAAGAAAGCGUAAUAGCUCACUGGUCGAGUCGGCCUGCGCGGAAGAUGUAACGGGGCUAAACCAUGCACCGAAGCUGCGGCAGCGAACGUAUCACCCAAGACAACUUUGCGGAGUUGACGAUUGACGGAGCGAAGCGACGUCAAAGCGUUCAUUAAAGUCGAGUUGGCUUAGGGAUACGUUCGUUGGGUAGGGGAGCGUUCUGUAAGCCUGUGAAGGUGGCCUGUGAGGGUUGCUGGAGGUAUCAGAAGUGCGAAUGCUGACAUAAGUAACGAUAAAGCGGGUGAAAAGCCCGCUCGCCGGAAGACCAAGGGUUCCUGUCCAACGUUAAUCGGGGCAGGGUGAGUCGACCCCUAAGGCGAGGCCGAAAGGCGUAGUCGAUGGGAAACGGGUUAAUAUUCCCGUACUUGGUGUUACUGCGAAGGGGGGACGGAGAAGGCUAUGUUGGCCGGGCGACGGUUGUCCCGGUUUAAGCGUGUAGGUGUGUGUUCCAGGUAAAUCCGGUUCACUUUAACACUGAGGCGUGACGACGAGGCACUACGGUGCUGAAGCAACAAAUGCCCUGCUUCCAGGAAAAGCCUCUAAGCAUCAGGUAACAUCAAAUCGUACCCCAAACCGACACAGGUGGUCAGGUAGAGAAUACCAAGGCGCUUGAGAGAACUCGGGUGAAGGAACUAGGCAAAAUGGUGCCGUAACUUCGGGAGAAGGCACGCUGACACGUAGGUGAAGUGAUUUACUCAUGGAGCUGAAGUCAGUCGAAGAUACCAGCUGGCUGCAACUGUUUAUUAAAAACACAGCACUGUGCAAACACGAAAGUGGACGUAUACGGUGUGACGCCUGCCCGGUGCCGGAAGGUUAAUUGAUGGGGUCAGCGCAAG